rnacentral:rRNA from 1 species
UACGUAGGGUGCAAGCGUUGUCCGGAAUUAUUGGGCGUAAAGAGCUCGUAGGCGGUUCGUCGCGUCGGCUGUGAAAACCUGAGGCUCAACCUCAGGCCUGCAGUCGAUACGGGCGGACUUGAGUACUGCAGGGGAGACUGGAAUUCCUGGUGUAGCGGUGAAAUGCGCAGAUAUCAGGAGGAACACCGGUGGCGAAGGCGGGUCUCUGGGCAGUAACUGACGCUGGAGGCGACGAAAGCGUGGGGAGCAAACAGG